AAGACGUUAGUAAAAUAAUUACAUAACUUUGUCAAAGUUAAUUUAUAGGUUAAAAUCCUUUAUGUCUUG
rnacentral:tRNA from 1 species